rnacentral:lncRNA from 1 species
GGGUAAGAGGCGCUGUGCUACGGGGACAGGCUACGCAGAACCCUUGACUCAAUUUCUUCACUCCCUUUAAGAUUUAGGAGCCUGGAUAACAAAAGCUUUGAUCAAUUUCACAACAUUCAUGUGAAGUCAGCAGAACUAAAAUUAUUGUCAUGCAAUAGGUAAGUACUAUUAUGAUUUUAUCAUUGGGUUCUUUCAGGGGGAAUUUGACAAAGGAUUCUAAAGAUGACCUGA